GGUAGGGUGGCCGAGCGGCCAGGUAGGAGGUUGUAGCCCUUUUGACAGAGGUUCGAGUCCUUUCUCUAUCA
rnacentral:tRNA from 1 species